GCAGAGUGAGGUGCUGCAGAGGAGAGAGGGGGAAAGGAUCAUCCUUGGAUGUUGAUGUGAUGGCACUGGGGUGGGGCUGAGCCUGCCUAUGGAGGGCAGGAGGUGGAACACUGCAGUGCCUGCUGGCCUCCUUGCUGGGAAGCAGUGCCAUGGGCUGGUGGCUGGAGUUGGCAGAGGUGUGACUGGCUGGCUGUGUGCUGUGGUGUCUGUGGUAGAGGCAGGAGAGGCUUUGUGCCCAGUGGGCCUGGCAGCCUCCUGCUGUCACAGUCUGCUGUCCUUCCGCACAAGGCGUGGCUGUGCUGCAGCUGUCUCGAUGCUUUGUGCCCUUGGGGAAUGCCUUCUGGCAGGUGACUUUGCAGCCACCUCUGCGUCUUUACCCGCGGCUGCUCAUCCUGAGGUUGCCCUGGCAAAGGGGCAGCACUCAGCACCUUCAGCAUCUCCCAGCCCAUGCCGUGGGGCUGUUGUCACAGCAAUGCAUGGAGAAUGGAGCAGCAUUUUUCCUUGUGUUGCUGCUGCAGUGAAACAGCUGCUGGGGGCUCUGGCAUGUUCUGUCCUUCAUUCUCCCUGUUGGCAGCAGAGCCAGCUGGCCUUAGCCUGCUGCUGCCCCAGGGCAGUCUUGGCCUGGUGUGGCCUCGGCUCCUGCUAUCCUGCACACUUGGUGGAAGAGGACCUGAGGCAAAGGAUCUGAGUGGUCUUACAUAGGGGAAUCUCUCUGCUCCCUCCAUCAGAGAGGAGUGAUGGGCACUGAUGCCUCCUCACCAUACCCCACCAGGGCAGGGGGUGAUGGGGAGGGUUGUGCUUGCACUGGUGCACCAAGAGAUGGCCUAGCCUGGGCUGAAGGUGGGUGGUGGGUCACAGUGCUCAGCUCUUGCCCCGCUGCUUUGAGCCCCUUCCCCGAAGCCCAGCUGCAGCAAAGCAGUGCUGGGCGCUGGAGUCGCUGAGCCUCCGGCGUCAUUUACAUAAGGCUCAGCAGCGGCGGCAGCGCAGCGGCACCACAGACCCGCUCCGGAGCAGCCUCCCUUCCUCUGCCUCUUGCCAUGGCGCUGGGCUUCGUGCUCCUGCUCCUGGUGGGGAUGGCGAGCACAGCUUCCAGGGCUCAGCCCGUGCUGAUCCAGCCACCUGCUGUGUUGGUACUGGCGGGGCAGACCGCUCGGCUCUCCUGCAUCCUCAGCGCCCCCUACAAUGUCAGUCAGUUUGGCAUCUCUUGGUACCAGCGGCGCCCGGGGCACCCCCUGAGAUACCUGCUCUACUACAACACUGAGCAAGACAAGCACAAGGCUGCCAAGGUUCCUGACCGCUUCUCCGCUACCAAAGACCUUGCCAGCAAUGCCUGCCUCCUCCUCAUCGCCCCUGCCCACCACGAGGACCACGCCAGCUACUACUGCUCCCUGCCCCUGGCCUUCAACUGGGCUUAGGAACAGGGCACAAAAGCUUUCUGUGUUCUCCCUUGCAACCCUGAUGCAAAGCCCUCGACAGGGAGAACAGCUGCCCCAGGAGGAUCAGAGAAACACUGCCUUGCAUGCUUGAGCAAGCCCAGCAGCGCUGUGUGGUGCUGCUGAUGUGCAGCAGCCUCCUCUUCCACUCCGAGCAUGCCCUCUGGAGCAUUAGGCAGCCUGACGCAGUGUGAGGCCUGUCCAAGCUCAGCCCAGGAACACACAGGAGUCUCCUACUGCACUGGGAAGGUGGAGAGGUCUGCUGUGGCCUGCUCUCCUGUGCUCUUCCAGCACUUGGCACAAUGUGGGCUUGGUCUGAGUUUGGGUUUCUGUGCAGUUUGGCUCACUCAGUAAUAAAGUUUAAUCCUUA